rnacentral:lncRNA from 1 species
ACCAGAGCUCUCGGAGAUCAACAAAGGUGCCGCUUUUGAAUGUGAAAGUUUUUUCAAGACUUUUCUAUUUCUUGGUUUGAAUCGUGUGCCUGUAGGGACACAUGCUACCUGCUUACUGGACAGUGACUACUUAGGAUAAGGACUCAGGCAAGUAAGGUUGCAUUUUAGUCUCUCAGAUAUGGGGGGAAAAUUUUGGUGACAUUGGAGAGAGAGAUAAAUGAAAUAUUUUAUUAAAUUUAGAAUUUAAUGUAAAGUAGCAUAUACAGAGGCAAGAAACAGAAUAAUGUGUUUUAUGGUUGUCAGCUACCAUCUUUAAUUGGUGAGUGACCAUUUCAUUUGUACUGUUACUUUUCUUAAGAGACAAACAAAAUUUUCUAAGUGUUUGUAGAUGUAAUGACUAUGGAAACAAAACCUUAUUUUUGUUAGCAAUUAACACAUUGCCAGAAGAAAUGAGAGCAUUAACAGAUUUUGGAACAAAUACCAUAUUAACAAUCAAAAGAAAAUGACUUUUAUACGUGUUAAGCUGCAAAUUCUGGGAGGAGAAUGUGUAGACGUCUAUGUAUAUAUGUGUUAAUUAACUAACAUGGGGAAAUAAAGAAACAUAAACAAAAGUAAAUACAGAUGAACAAAACUUAUCUAAAAAGUGAGUUUCAAACUGGUUGUGUUACUUAGUUUAUUAUGAUAUUUUAAAUAACCAAUAAACAUUAACAGUGUUGAUGUUUCUGGUUAAUUCAUCAUUUACUUUGAUUGGACAAGGACAUAUUAAAAUAGGCUGGCUGAUUUGUGGUACUGUCUGUUUGCUGAAAAUAUCUGUAUUAUAGUUCUUCCAAAGGAACUAGAAACUACAGAGCCCCAAGCGACACUGGAUUUGUAGUCCUCUGAAAGUUGUCACCGAUAAUGGAGAUAAACUUGUUCUUAUAGUAGUAGCAACAUGAUAUUUUAUUCAGUUUAUAAUAUCCUUAAAAAUUAUCU